CACUAACUGUAGCUGGAGGUAAUUGGAACUGCUGGGGCACUGUAACCCUGAAAGCUUGAAGCAAUGCUCUCUUUGUGAGGAGGAUGGUCCUUGGAUUGUCAAAGUUUCCUAGAGAUGUGAGAAAUUCAGUUUUCCCAGUGCACCAGUGCUUUUGUGCUGUAUGUGUUUUGUAUGACUAAUCAACACAACAAAGACAUAGCUGAGUAUUACUCAAGACAGAGACUUCCCCCCAUGCUAUUCAGAAAUGAAGCUUUCAGCUGCCAGCAGGAGAAAGUUGCAGGUCUUCCUGCAGGCCAUUUGGAGUCCUUGCAGCUGUGAGAGAAUUGCCUGGCAGACCUAGUAGUUCCACAGGAAUGUUUGACAGAAUUUGCAAUGUGUGGUGCAGCAAUGAAUAUCAGUCUGUGUUUGGAGAGAAAUUGGAACAGCAGAGUGCUACCUCAGACAAGAACAGUUCCUGGUCAAUUCCUUCUACAAAACCAUGACUGGCAAUGCUUCAGCAGCAUCUAGACAUCUUUAUGCCAUCAGCUGCUAGUGAAGCCAAGGAUACAGCAUUUGUCCCCAUCCUCUGACUUUCCCCAGGAAGACUGACAACUAGGAGACUUCAAUAUCCUACCAGAAAAGAAAAAUUGUUUAUUUUCCAACAUAUUCCUCUUAUUAGUCUUCUCUCAUCUACAAAUGAACUUCUACUGAAGUGAGGAGGGGAGCACCUGACUUAGCUGGGAAAAGAACUGAGAAUAUUUUCAAUGUCUUCCUGAUAACACUAAUGUCAUUGUUCAUUUCCAUUUUCUUGAAAUGUUGUAAUUUUCAGCAUUUUAAUGUAAUUUUGGUGGACAUAGUCUAGCGGAGAAUUCAAACCUAAAAUUUCACUUAUCUGUGGGGUUUUAUUUUCUAAUAUCUUCUUCAAUAUAUUUUAUUCAAAACUAGAUUAUUUGAAGGUCAUGUAGCACCAGAAAUCCAAUGAUCUUUAGCAAUGCAUAGAAAAGAUGCAAUUAAUUUAAACUGUAAAGUGAGUGAAACUGAAUUGCUGGGAGGGGCAGAGUAUUGCCCAUUUCUACUUCAGUGCCAAAGUGAGGAGUCAAUCAGUCCUCCUUUGGCUAAAGCAAGAGGGUGAGGAAAGGCAAAAACAAGUUUCAGUUCUUUGAGGGAUCUGAGAAGGCCACUUGGCCUUGAAAUGAAACAUUUAGUUGGGGGCUUUUGCUAAGAGAAGCAGAGGAAAAUGCAAGUUUGGAAUUAGGACCAGAAGGAAAAUGCAAGUUUAGAAUUAGGUCCAGGAGUGUGGCAAACACCCACAUCAGAAGUAUGAUGGUAAUGAUGCUGGAGCUGCAGAUGCUCCUCUGACCCCCCAGCCUGGACUCUCCCUGUGUCCACACAGCUUACACAUAGGACAAAUCUGGCCAUCUGCCACAGACUUGACCUUGUGUUUCCCAGUGGCUCCUGGAAAAUGCCAGCAUUCCAAAACAACUCCUAACUCAGGGAAAAGCCACCAUGGGAAAAGCUGCUGCACUGGAGAGGACAUAGCUGGAUCCUGCCUGUCUUGUCCUGGGUGUGGACACCGAAGCAGUUGUUUUUCAUAGGAAUUUAAUUAUUUUUGAUACCUCUCUCUUGCUUUAGAACAUUGUUGAAAUUGGCUGAGUGCUCUGCUACAUACUGUUGCAAAACGCUGUGAUGAUCUUUGAUAAACAGAAAUAUUUUUUGUGUAUUUUCCUAAUUUUUCUAAAAUCCUCUUUCCCCCCUGUUGGUUGAAGUUCAAAGGAGUAUUGUGUGCUCCAAAACAGGGGAGAAUGUUGCCAUGAUGA